rnacentral:rRNA from 1 species
AUACGGAGGGUGCAAGCGUUAUCUGGAAUCACUGGGUUUAAAGGGUGCGUAGGCGGCCAUAUUAGUCAGUAGUGAGAGGUUGCAGCUUAACUGUAAGACUGCUAUUGAAACUGUAUGGCUUGAAUUAGGAUGAGGUAGGCGGAAUGUGACAUGUAGCGGUGAAAUGCUUAGAUAUGUCAUAGAACACCGAUUGCGUAGGCAGCUUACUAGACCUAUAUUGACGCUGAGGCACGAAAGCGUGGGGAGCGAACAGGAUUAGAUACCCCAGUAGUCC